rnacentral:lncRNA from 1 species
UGUAGGGUAGGCUGAACAAAGAAAAAAAUUUGGUUUAAAGUUUGGAGUUAGGAAGGGUAAAUAAUGGUAGGAAGGGAAACUUGAUGAUCGGGAAACACAAAGAAUGAAUAAACAAAAAUUCCAGCACUUCACUUUUUUUUACUUCGUACUCUUUUUUUAUUCUCAAUUUUUUUCUUUCUUUUUUCGUGAUUUUCUUUUUUUUUCAAUUACAAUAGAUGAAAUACAAAGAGAAAAAAAAAUUACAACUUGAAUUUUAU